CCAAGGACGACAGUGGCAUCGGCACACCUACUAGGCCUUUGGCAGCGCACGAGUGCCGUGAAGGUGCUGCAGCAGAGCAACAGCCACCAGAUGCAGGCUGGCAGCAGCAGCACUCAAAUGCAGGCAAGAGGAAGCUGGGCAGCCUGGCAAUGAACAAUCAGGUCACCAUAUCGACAUAGCAGAGCAACCUUCCACCACAAAUGGCACCGCUUCAAGUGCACCAUCAGUAUUCACCGCCCAGAUCGAUGCAGCCGCCCAGAAUGCUGCCGAGAAAAUCUUUGCGGAACUGUUCAACCUAACAAUGGAUGCAAAAACUUAAAUUUACUUUUCCAACACAAAUUCAUCCUUUUCACCUUCAUUUGAGGUACCAGAUCCAUUCCUGGGUGCUUCUACCAAUAUUCUAGCUGCAUUCACAAUUAAAGAGGUACACCGAGAUCAUCUGCAUCCACCUCCGUACCUUGCAACGGACAUAAAUUUAUCACUAAUUCAAAUUAAAUCACAAUGGUUACAUAUUAGGAACAACACAGCCAUCCUAGGAACUUCACAUGCAGUAAUGCCUGUACCGCAAAAUACGAUAGGCAGUAGCACUUUCAUACUAAUAUAUAGUUAUGUAUUAUACAUGUAAAAUAAUUGUGAUGUAACAUAUACCUACUAAUAUUUGCAACUGUCACAAUGACACUAAUUUUAUAUCUAUUAAUGACAUCCUACCUUAAUCUAA